rnacentral:rRNA from 1 species
CCUACGGGAGACAGCAGUGGGGAAUAUUGGGCAAUGGGCGCAAGCCUGACCCAGCAAUGCCGCGUGAAGGAAGAAGGCUUUCGGGUUGUAAACUUCUUUGACAGGGGAAGAGCAGAAGACGGUACCCUGAAAACAAGCCACGGCUAACUACGGGCCAGCAGCCGCGGCAAUACGUAGGUGGCAAGCGUUGUCCGGAAUUCCUGGGUGUAAAGGGCGUGUAGCCGGGAAGGCAAGUCAGAUGUGAAAUCUGGAGGCUCAACCUCCAAAUUGCAUUUGAAACUGUUUUUCUUGAGUACUGGAGAGGCAGACGGAAUUCCUUGUGUAGCGGUGAAAUGCGUAGAUAUCAGGAGGAACACCAGUGGCGAAGGCGGUCUGCUGGACAGCAACUGACGGUGAGGCGCGAAAGCGUGGGGAGCAAACAGGAUUAGAUACCCCAGUAGUC